rnacentral:rRNA from 1 species
GAGUAGAGCGGCGCACGGUGAGUAACGCGUGGGUGACUACCAGGAGACCGGGAUACAGUGGGAAACUGCUGCUAAUACCGGGUACGCUUCAUAUUUCACGUAUGGGGGAAAGGCGGCCUCUGCUUGCAAGCUGCCACUCUUGGAUGGGCCCGCGUCUCAUUAGCUUGUUGGUAGGGUAACGGCCUACCAAGGCGACGAUGAGUAGCUGGUCUGAGAGGAUGAUCAGCCACACUGGGACUGGAACACGGCCCAGACUCCUACGGGAGGCAGCAGUGGGGAAUAUUGCGCAAUGGGCGAAAGCCUGACGCAGCGACGCCGCGUGAGGGAAGAAAAGGGCCUUCGGGUCGUAAACCUCUGUCAGGAGGGAAGAAACCAUGGGAGUCGAACAGGCUCUCGUGCUGACGGUACCUCCGGAGGAAGCACCGGCUAACUCCGUGCCAGCAGCUGC